UGUCUCAAAAAAAAACUGGAAAAAAAAACUAAAAAAAAGAAAGAAAGAAAGAAAGAAAGAAUAGGAAAGGAAAAAAUUCAUAUCAAUUCAUAUCAAUAUUUAUCAGAGGAAGUGGUCUAUAGUUUUCUUUUUUGUUACACCUCAUCUGGUUUGUUAUCAGGGUAACACUUGCUUCUGAAUGAAGUUAGAGGUAUCAGGUUCCCUUUGACUUAACAAGGCAAGACUUCUUAGCAGCAAACAUCUUUAACCCACUGGAUCGUCUCAACAGUCCUAGGCACUGGCUCUUAAAGAUGAGAAUUUGGAUCUUAUUCUCUGAAUCUGGUUGAAUUUAAAUGAAUCUAUGUCACAGGCUUCAGACAACCAGACCAUAAGCCCAACUUCCUGAAGCUGAACUCUGGAGAGAGAAGAUGAAUGUUCAACAUCAGGGUCCGUUGUGUUGUAAACUAAGACACAUGGGUAAAAUCUUUGGACUGUAUUCUUCCCAGACCUCUAUCUUCCAGCGGCCCAGAAGUGGAGAGCGUCAUCAGACAGCACCCACGAUCCCGGCAGGGAUUCCCCUGCUUUGUGGAGGCUCCCAACAAGGAUGGAGUCUGUGGGAGCUUCCAUAACUGUGGGUACCAGAAUCCAGGGGGCUGGGCCACACUGCAGCCUGAAAGUAUGGACCUUCGUUGCUUUUUUAUUCUUACUUUUUCCUUUCUUUCUUUGUUUUUGUUUUUUUGGCUUUUUUUUUUCUAGACAGGAUUUCUCUGUAUAGUCCUUUUUCUUUUUAAAACAUGUCAUCUGAUGCAUACAUAUUUUUUAAAAUGCAUUUAUUUUUGUUGUAUUUGUAUGAGUGAAUCUGAGCCUCCCGAGAGCUGGUAUCAGCAGCAUCCAGAAGAGAGCAUCAGAAUCUCUGAAACUGGAGUUGGUUGUGAGUCACCGUGUGGAUAUUUGGAAAUGAGCCCCAGGCCUCAGUAAGAACAGUCAGUGCUCUUAACCAGAACCAUCUCUCAAGCCCCAUUCUUACUUCCUCAGGCGUGGGAUUGUUCCAAAAGCUGAGUUUUUAAAAGCGCUAGUACACACAAAUACUUUAAUUUUCUGAGACAGGGUCUCAUCAUAUAGCCCUUUACUAGUCUGGAACUUGCCACGUAAGCAGUCCAGCUGUCCUGGACCUCACAGAGAUCUGCCUGCCUCUGCCGGAUCAAAGGCCGGGGCACCCACACCCAGCACGUACGGAUAUUAUCAACGGGCUGGUUUUGAGGGCUGAGCCUUAGCCCAGGAGACUAAGGUCUUACCUCAGUUCCGGCCUCCUGUGCUGACUUCAACCUGACCUUGUGCGAUUUUUUUUCUUGUCACGCCUCUGGACCUUAACUUCCCUUUCUGUAAAAUGAAGAGCAAAUCCCUCCCCCUCCCUCCCUCCCUUCCCUGAAGAGAUUUGUGCCAGUGACUCAGCCCUCCAAAAGCUGGACCACACCCCAGGGAUACUUUAUCCCAGUGCAGAAGCUGGACACUAGAGGAGGAGGACUUUGCCCGGGAUCCCACACCCUCUUAGUAGCAGAUCCAGGACCUCAGUCUCUGCCUCCAAAGCUGACAGUGUGGCCCGCUGCCUCGCCUCUGCCUCAGCGGCACUGGAGAAAGACUGGAUAGAAUUUUCACACUAUUUAUAACUUUUCCACACAGGAUUUAAAGGGACAACUCUGUCCUGGUCCAGGAGCCUGGUGGGUCCCUUUACGGUCCUAAAUGCUAUUGAGGACACUUGAUCUUUUUUUUUUUUUUAAUUACAUCAGCAAUUUAAAGUUUAGGGUCAGUGGAAUGGCUCUGUGGGUAAAUCUGAGUCCCGAGGUCGAUCUCUGGGACCCACCUGGUGGAAAAAGAGAAGAACCUCCUGCAAGUUGCCCUUUGACCUCCACACAAGCACGGUGGCACAUGAGCGAGCACAUAUACAAAGUAAAUAAAUAACUUUUCAAAAAUUUAAACCCAACAGUUGUGGCAUACACCUACCUAUAAUCUCAGAACUCAGGAGGCAGAGGUAAGAGAAUAAACGGAAGUUUGAGGAUAGCCUAGGCUACAUGUGGCGAUCCUGUGUCAAAAAAGCCAA